UCUGUUGCCUAUGUUAGGUCAGCCUUCAAACAUUUACUGUGUUAUGUUGACCUAUGGAUCGUGUAUUCCUUCCAGGGACCAGUUUUAGACCUGGACAAUGAUCUACAACUUAGUUCAUUUCUUAAAGCCAUUGUUAAGUUAUUUGAAGUUAGCUCCAUGCAUGCAUAGUUCAGUGACGGGCCCAGGACAGCAUACACAUUUGUUUGUGGUCCAUUUCUCAAACUCCUUCCUCUUCAUGACUUCUUCAACACCCUUCAGCUCCCUAGGACCCCUUUUCCUGAUUCUCAGGCUAGAAAGUUGAGGCGUUUGCCUUCCAGGCCUGUCAUGCAUUUCUUGUGUCUGGAUGUGGUUCUAAGUAAAGCAGCAAGGAGAGAGAGAGAGAGAGAGAGAGAGAGAAAGGACCAGGAUUCCCUCCUUCCUUUUCAUCCCUCUGGUUAGAAAAAAGGAUUUUCUUUCAGAGUUUCAGGUGCCUUCGUGGCUGCUGCUGCUGUCAUGGGAGUGCAGUCUUACAACAUUUGCCUGGGGCAGGAGACAGAGAAAGAAAAAAACAGUGGAUUUCCUCCUCUCUCUCCAUUCCUCAGGGGCCCCUUUCCUGGUCUUGUGACCAUAGAGGGAUGGUUUCUCCUGGGCACUUCUCCCUAUAUGCCUGCUGAGCAGUUCUGGGAUUUGGGUGUCCUGAGUCUAAGCUGGGAGAUGUGGGAGGAAAGAAAAGCUGGUGAACUCAUUGCCACCUCCAUGUUUCUCUGAAUGUUAUCUCUCUCUCCAUCUGCUUGCCGUGGUUUUCUUUCUAGACACCUCUGAUGAUUGCUGCAUGUAUUCUGCCCAGGGUUUUUGGCUGUGAUCACUGGGAGAGAUAGAAGGGACUGUAUUUGCUCCAUCUUACCCAGCUCUGCAAACCUGCUGGAGAGUUUAAUUGGCAUAUGACUUCUAUCCUCAAAGUCACAAGAUGGCUGCUGGAGUUCCAGUCAGGAUGUCUGUACAUCUCUUUCAGGUUGGCGCAGUGGCUCACACCUGUAAUCCCAGCACUUUGGGAGGCCGAGGCAGGCGGAUCACCUGAGGUCCGGAGUUAGAAACCAGCCUGACCAACGUGGAGAAACCCCGUCUCUAAUAAAAAUACAAAAUGAGCUGGGCGUGGAGGUGCAUGCCUGUAAUCCCAGCUACUCAGGAGGCUGAGGCAGGAGAAUCGCUUGAACCCAGAAGGUGGAGGUUGCAGUGAGCGGAGAUCACGCCAUUGCAAUCUGGGCAACAAGAGCGAAGCUCUGUCUCAAAAAAAAAAAAAAA
rnacentral:lncRNA from 1 species